rnacentral:rRNA from 1 species
CUCCUACGGGAGGCAGCAGUGAGGAAUAUUGGUCAAUGGUCGGAAGACUGAACCAGCCAUGCCGCGUGAAGGAAGAAUGUCCUAUGGAUUGUAAACUUCUUUUGUAAGGGAGCAAUAAGUUCCAUGCGUGGGAUGAUGAGAGUACCUUACGAAUAAGCAUCGGCUAACUCCGUGCCAGCAGCCGCGGUAAUA